CCUACGGGAGGCAGCAGUGGGGAAUAUUGCACAAUGGGGGAAACCCUGAUGCAGCGACGCCGCGUGAGUGAAGAAGUACUUCGUUAUGUAAAGCUCUAUCAGCAGGGAAGAAAAUUACGGUACCUGAGUAAGAAGCGCCUGCUAACUACGUGCCAGCAGCCGCUGUAAUACGUAGGGGGCAAGCGUUAUCCGGAUUUACUGGGUGUAAAGGGAGCGGAGACGGCAGUGCAAGUCUGGUGUGAAAGGCGGGGGGUCAACCCCCGGACUGCUCUGGAAACUGUACGGCUGGAGUGCGGGAGAGGUAAGUGGAAUUCCUAGUGUAGCGGUGAAAUGCGUAGAUAUAAGGAGGAACACCAGUGGCGAAGGCGGCUUACUGGAUUGUAACUGACGUUGAGGCUCGAAAGCGUGGGGAGCAAACAGGAUUAGAUACCCUUGUAGUC
rnacentral:rRNA from 1 species